rnacentral:lncRNA from 1 species
GAGCGACCCGGAGUUCCGGCGGGCCUUUCGCAUGUCACGCGUCACGUUUGAUGCGGUCUGCGACGAGCUCAGCGCCACCGUCGGCGAGGAGGCGGACGCCAUAUCCCCAUGCACCAGCGUGCUGCUGUCUGCCUCUGGCGCCUCGCCAGCGGAGAGCCCUUCGCCGAGAUCUCCUGCCGCUUUGGCCUCGGCAUUUCUACCUGCCACAGCAUCGUCCUCCAGGUCUGCGCUGCCAUCACCGACAUCCUCAUGCCCAAGGCCAUCCGCUGGCCGUUGGAUUCCCUCCCCGAGGUCGCCGCUGGGUUCCAGGCCAUGUCUGGGAUCCCCGGCG